rnacentral:rRNA from 1 species
CGUGUAGGCGGCUCGAGAAGUCUGGUGUGAAAUCGCAGGGCUCAACCCUGCGGGUGCGCUGGAAACUGACGGGCUUGAGUCCCGGGGGGAAGCUGGAAUUCCUGGUGUAGGAGUGAAAUCUGUAGAGAUCAGGAAGAACACCGGUGGCGAAGGCGAGCUUCUAUUCGAGGACUGACGCUGAGGCGCGAAAGCGUGGGGAGCAAACAG